CCAGACUACAGUUUGACACCAUUCAUGCAAAACCUGCCACAGCGCAGUCUACAUUCAGGUGUCCUGAGGACAUAUUACAGUUACCACAACCCUGUGUUUUGUGUCCUGUCCUCCAGCCAAUCAUGAAGUCGUCUGACAGGGCACACACAGUCCUGUUUCCUUUGUGGGAAAACCUUCGAAUUUCACCAUCCUCAGCUGAAACAACAACAUCUUAACACCAUCUUCAUGAACUGCUGAGCCAAACCUGAUCCAUCAGUGCUGGACUGCACAGAUAACUACAUGCCACACAGAGACUGCUGUGUUAUGAACUGCCAUACCAGUGUGUCUUCAAUGGAGAAGAUGACACACCCAUCACCUGACCUCCUGCCUGAUCUGGAGAACAUCAUCAUGCUGCCACACUACACACCUCUGAGA